UACGAGAGCCCCGAGCGUUAUCCGGAAUUAUUGGGCGUAAAGGGUGCGUAGGUGGUUGUGUUAGUCGUUUGUCAAAUCUCUGGGCUUAACUCAGAAACCGCGAGCGAAACGGCACAACUUGAGAGUGUGAGGGGUAUAGGGAACUCAUGGUGUAGGGGUGAAAUCCGUUGAUAUCAUGGGGAACACCAAAAGCGAAGGCACUAUACUGGCACACAUCUGACACUCAAGCACGAAAGCGUGGGUAGCGAAUGGG
rnacentral:rRNA from 1 species